rnacentral:lncRNA from 1 species
GCCAGAAACAGUAAAUCAGUUUGGUAAAUAUGUCACUGUAGACAUCCAAGACAGAGAAAAAUGAGGCCUAAGUUAAGGGACUAAGAUGAAGGGAGAUAUUUCUAAGGCGAAUCAAUGAGAGGUGGCAAAUUGCACCUGAUGGAUUUGGCAGAGAUACUGCAGCUCCUGGCGUGACUAGAACUAGGAUUUGUAAAAAGUUCGUGAUUCUCUCAGCCCGUUUAAAGCACAAUGUAGGUGUUGAUCUAGUGAGGGAGUCAAUGAGAUAGAGCAUUGCAGAGCUUGCUAGAGAGGCACAGGAAGUCGCCUGAAGUGAAGGAGGGGGUGGCUGCUGCAGAAGCUAAAGCUUCCGCCAAACAAAAGAGGACAGCACUUCCGGUCACGCCAUCGUCGCUGCCUUCUCCGUCAAGGAUGCAAGUUAGCACCAGAAAUCCAGACAACUUUUUUAAAAUUGUGGAAAUCUGACUGGACUCAGACCCAUUAAUCUUGAAAGCAGGUAAUAUAUCUAUUUUUGCCAUCAUUAUUUCCCCAGCACUUACCACAAUGUGUAGUACUUUACUAGGUAUACUUUAAAAAUAUUUAAAAAUUCUUAUACACAUGUAAAUAAAGAAGAUAAAAUCAAG